CCAACCUAUCAGCCAGUUUCCUCCAACCUUGCUGCAUUGAAAACUGAUGCCCAGUUGGCCACACAACAGCCCUUUGAGCCAAGUCAGUUUCCCCCACCUUCUACAUCGAUGAAAUGCAAAUCUUUCACACAAGCAUAUCCAGCACCACAAAUCAUCAAGCCAUCUCCUCAAAGGUUUUCCCAACCUACUCCUACCUAUCAACAAACUCAAAACGCUUCAAGCACUACUACAACUGGAUAUGAAAAGUCACCUCAGCGAUUCAUCAAACCAGGAAUGACAACUGAUUCAAGCAUUCAACAGAUGAGUCCAGCUGGUUCCUCCCCUAAAAUGCCCUUUGCAACUCUUCCUUCAAAAAAGGAAACUUCUGAUGCUGAGAAAAAAUUUGAAUCUUUCAUGAAAGAAAUAGAAGAAGAAAUGGAGAAUCAAGAACAAGAUGGGGAAUUUUUUGGUAAUGAAUACAUUUAAUUUAGCAAAAAUUUCACUUCCUAAAGGUUCUUAUUAUUUGUAUUGGAACAAUCGCGCACCAAUACAAUAGGUGUCAAGACAAGACAAAAUCAACCUAGUCCUAAAUCGCCUAGUCAAAAAAUACAGAGUGAUAGAGAUAGGGAAGAGGAAGAAAUAUGGUGUUGCUCAUUUUCAAUCUCGCCAACUAGUGACUGCUGCGUUAACUAGUAAAUAUCUAGGCCAGUCUGGGCGAGUUAUUUUUAAUGUAGGGGGUGGAGAACCAGGAUUUUGGAUCCCGUCUACGUAUAAGCGCUAGUGUCGGCCACAUUUUUCGGCUGGUUUUCAUCUCUCAUCUGUGUAAAUCAAUCAAAUCUAUGGAUUCUGUUCUAUCUUUCCAUUAUUAUUUCCACGUCGGACGUUCGGCUAAUUUUGAGUUUGAAAUCGUUAAGAUGGUUCUGUCGUUUUGUUGUUGUCACCUUUUCUGAAGACAAAUUAACGGCGAUUCUAUUGUGGCCUUUGGUUGGUUGCUGUUGGUGUCAAAAUUCCUAGUAAAUGAUGUCAAGUUUGCCUAGAAGAAAAGCUGCUGAGAAUCUUCUUAAUAAAAUUCACCAAAAGCAGCUGACUGGAAAGUGGGAAAACUACAACUAUGGACAGGGUAAAGCUUCACUCUUUGGACGCCUGAAUGAAAGGCUAAUCUUUCAACUAGACAAAGUAAUUCCCAUGUCAGCCUUAGAAUCAGGACAUAUUCUUGGGUUUUCAAAAUGUGCUCAAUUUUUGUAGACAUACACACAUUCAAUGGAGCUGGAAGUAAAUCUGCUGACUGUUGUCCACAAGUACAAGCUACAUUGGUGGAAUUUUGUGCCUUACAAACAGGCCAGCAAGGUUGCAGAGGUUACUUUAUUCAGCGAUCAAGGAGUGUCCCUAGCUCUGCAAAUAGUGUUGUGCUAUUGGCCAGGUGAUUCUACUCGUUUACUAGUCCAUGGAAGCAGCAUCCGGCCUGAAGGAGAAAGUCGUGAGUGUUAUCUAACCAAUGUCAAAUAACAGCACAAAAAAUAUAUCCUACUGGUUGAAUACUACUUGGUGGAAUGAAGUUGUU